rnacentral:rRNA from 1 species
AGAGUUUGAUCAUGGCUCAGGACGAACGCUGGCGGCACGCUUAACACAUGCAAGUCGAACGAGAGAAGAGGAGCUUGCUUUUCUGAUCUAGUGGCGGACGGGUGAGUAACACGUGAGCAAUCUGCCUUUCAGAGGGGGAUACCGAUUGGAAACGAUCGUUAAUACCGCAUAACAUAAUUGAACCGCAUGAUUUGAUUAUCAAAGAUUUAUCGCUGAAAGAUGAGCUCGCGUCUGAUUAGCUAGUUGGUAAGGUAACGGCUUACCAAGGCGACGAUCAGUAGCCGGACUGAGAGGUUGAUCGGCCACAUUGGGACUGAGACACGGCCCAGACUCCUACGGGAGGCAGCAGUGGGGAAUAUUGCACAAUGGAGGAAACUCUGAUGCAGCGAUGCCGCGUGAGGGAAGAAGGUUUUAGGAUUGUAAACCUCUGUCUUCAGGGACGAAAAAAGACGGUACCUGAGGAGGGAGCUCCGGCUAACUACGUGCCAGCAGCCGCGGUAAUACGUAGGGAGCGAGCGUUGUCCGGAAUUACUGGGUGUAAAGGGAGCGUAGGCGGGAUCGCAAGUCAGAUGUGAAAACUAUGGGCUUAACCCAUAAACUGCAUUUGAAACUGUGGUUCUUGAGUGAAGUAGAGGUAAGCGGAAUUCCUAGUGUAGCGGUGAAAUGCGUAGAUAUUAGGAGGAACAUCAGUGGCGAAGGCGGCUUACUGGGCUUUAACUGACGCUGAGGCUCGAAAGCGUGGGGAGCAAACAGGAUUAGAUACCCUGGUAGUCCACGCCGUAAACGAUGAUUACUAGGUGUGGGGGGACUGACCCCUUCCGUGCCGCAGCAAACGCAAUAAGUAAUCCACCUGGGGAGUACGACCGCAAGGUUGAAACUCAAAGGAAUUGACGGGGGCCCGCACAAGCAGUGGAGUAUGUGGAUUAAUUCGAAGCAACGCGAAGAACCUUACCAGGUCUUGACAUCGUAUGCAUAGCUCAGAGAUGAGUGAAAUCUCUUCGGAGACAUAUAGACAGGUGGAGCAUGGUUGUCGUCAGCUCGUGUCGUGAGAUGUUGGGUUAAGUCCCGCAACGAGCGCAACCCUUACUGUUAGUUGCUACGCAAGAGCACUCUAGCAGGACUGCCGUUGACAAAACGGAGGAAGGUGGGGAUGACGUCAAAUCAUCAUGCCCCUUAUGACCUGGGCCUCACACGUACUACAAUGGCUGUCAACAGAGGGAAGCAAAGCCGCGAGGUGGAGCGAACCCCUAAAAGCAGUCUUAGUUCGGAUUGUAGGCUGCAACCCGCCUACAUGAAGUCGGAAUUGCUAGUAAUCGCAGAUCAGCAUGCUGCGGUGAAUACGUUCCCGGGCCUUGUACACACCGCCCGUCACGCCAUGGGAGUCGGUAACACCCGAAGCCUGUAGUCUAACCGCAAGGAGGACGCAGUCGAAGGUGGGAUUGAUGACUGGGGUGAAGUCGUAACAAGGUA